rnacentral:rRNA from 1 species
UGGGGAAUAUUGCGCAAUGGGGGAAACCCUGACGCAGCGACGCCGUGUGAGGGAAGAAGGCCUUCGGGUCGUAAACCUCUGUCGGGAGGGAAGAACCGCCGGUUUCCGAACAGGGAGCCGGUCUGACAGUACCUCCGAAGGAAGCGCCGGCUAACUCCGUGCCAGCAGCCGCGGUAAUACGGAGGGCGCGAGCGUUAAUCGGAAUCACUGGGCGUAAAGCGCGCGUAGGCGGCUUUGUAAGUCGGGCGUGAAAGCCCUCGGCCCA